rnacentral:lncRNA from 1 species
GUUAAUUAGAGAGUCCUUCAAAGGCUUGAACUUCACUUUAAGAGAAGGGUGAGGAGACUGAACACCCAAGCAAACAAUUUGUUCAUAUUUCAGUUUAUUAAGUCGAAAGAAAAUCAUAUGAAUCAAAUGUGCCAUUGGUGUCGGGUUUUGAUGUUCUCCCCGACUGCCAGUCAUAUACAGUGCAUUCUAUGUGCUCUAUUGGUAACUUGUCUUCAGGUGAAAACGUUGCUUAGUAACCUUGAAAGGGUGAAAUUGAAGACAAAUGUUUAGAAAGACGAACAGUGGUUAAGCUAAUAGGGUCAGAAUUCUUUUCCACAAUUUUCAGAACCUGAAAUCAGAGAUCAAUGGCUACUUUACAGCUCAGUUAAAUAAUUUACACUCAGCAGUUUCUCCUGGUUUUAAGGAGGAAAGGUGAUAUACUGAGAAACAAGUUUAUGGAGGUCCUACUACUUCAAUGGACCAGAAAGCACUCACAUGAUCAGCAGUUGCUAACAUAAUGUCCACAAGGCUUGUUGGAUACAAGUCCAGUUGGUCCUCUUCACAGAAGGCUUGGCUAAGGCUGAUAAACAUCUGGAAGACCAGCAGUAACCAAGCAACAUAGUUAGAUUUAGUGACUGAUUCAGGAACAUAGAAAAGUGUUUUUACUGAAUCUGAAUAUUGGACAAAAAAGCUCAGUUUUUUCUACAGUAAUUCCCCAGCGUACACACACUCAAGAAUUUCACACAGGGCUCUUCGUAGUCCUCCUUGGAGGUACCAGGGACACAGGGAGACUUUGAAUGCUAAGGUGAUGUUGUGCCACAGAGCAGUGAGCCUCUUCCUAAAGGUCUGUUUUUGCCCCUUUAGAUGAUGGGGAGCAGAAACUGAAGCAUCUUCCAAUGCGAAUGUUCCAGCAGGGAUCAGCUCGCCGCCGAGUCAGCAUUGCAGUUAUUCCUAGGCAGCUAGCGCAGUUUCACAGCCCUGAAAAUGGGCGAGGCUCUGAGGAGGAAACAGUUAAACCGACAGCAGUGGAGGGAGAAAGUUCAAAACGACAGCCCCACUAUCUCCAGGAAGGCUCUCCGGAAAAUUACUUUACCCUGAAUGCAGGACCUUCCAACUUCUCACGCCAAAGUCUGGAGGAAGUAAACAGGACUGGAUGUGAUGUAGACAGAAGCCACUGCAGAGAAGAAAGAGAAUCUGACCUCCAGAGAAGAAUUAGCACGGCCGAUGCUCUAGAAGAAAAUUCUAAUGAUGAAUGGACUGGCAAGGACCUGAAUGAAGUUUGUGAGAAACUGGGAGAAGCGACUCUCCUGUCCAAGGGAUCCAAACUAGAACUUUGCAGAGUCUGGUUCUCUAUGCCCACCUACUACUGGGUUUUGCUCUGGCUGUUUUUUCUGGGAAUUGCUUGCCUUAUAGUUAUCCGGAUCCUGGAGGUGCAGAAACAAUAUCCACUUGCAGCCUCUGAAUUUUAGUCUGCAAAGCAGCAGAAUAACUCUACACAGGAACAGUGCAUCAUGAAAAUCUCAAGGCAGCCUACGUAGGAAAAAUAAAAAUAAGAAAGAGAUGGUGUGUGUGUGUAUA